rnacentral:sRNA from 1 species
GCACUUCCACUUCUUCUCCCCAUGCUUCCUGGAGUAGUGUUUCUUAAUGCCUGUGAGAUCGCCCAAAGCUCGGGUUGCAUCAUGAUGAGGGCAGGUAAUCUCAGGGCAGACAUACACCUUCUUCUUAGCUUCUGUGCUGCUUCUCUGCUUCAGCUUCCAUGGUAGGUUGUGGCCUCUCCUAUGAAGUUGGAGGUUCUGGUCUCUCUGGAAGCCCUUGUGGCAGACCUCGCAUAUAUACCUGUUUGUUGCCAGGAGUGUCUUAGGUGACAAAGCUACGACCUCAACAUCUGGAUCUG